AGCGAACGCUGGCGGCAGGCCUAACACAUGCAAGUCGAACGAACUCUUCGGAGUUAGUGGCGGACGGGUGAGUAACACGUGGGGACGUGCCUUUUGGUUCGGAAUAACUCAGGGAAACUUGUGCUAAUACCGAAUGUGCCCUUCGGGGGAAAGAUUUAUCGCCAUUAGAGCGGCCCGCGUCUGAUUAGCUAGUUGGUGAGGUAACGGCUCACCAAGGCGACGAUCAGUAGCUGGUCUGAGAGGAUGACCAGCCACACUGGGACUGAGACACGGCCCAGGCUCCUACGGGAGGCAGCAGUGGGGAAUCUUGCGCAAUGGGCGAAAGCCUGACGCAGCCAUGCCGCGUGAAUGAUGAAGGUCUUAGGAUUGUAAAAUUCUUUCACCGGGGACGAUAAUGACGGUACCCGGAGAAGAAGCCCCGGCUAACUUCGUG
rnacentral:rRNA from 1 species